AUUGAACGCUGGCGGCAUGCUUUACACAUGCAAGUCGAACGGUAACAGGCCGCAAGGUGCUGACGAGUGGCGAACGGGUGAGUAAUGCAUCGGAACGUGCCCAGUCGUGGGGGAUAACGCAGCGAAAGCUGCGCCAAUACCGCAUACGAUCUAUGGAUGAAAGCGGGGGACCGAAAGGCCUCGCGCGAUUGGAGCGGCCGAUGUCAGAUUAGGUAGUUGGUGGGGUAAAGGCUCACCAAGCCAACGAUCUGUAGCUGGUCUGAGAGGACGACCAGCCACACUGGGACUGAGACACGGCCCAGACUCCUACGGGAGGCAGCAGUGGGGAAUUUUGGACAAUGGGCGCAAGCCUGAUCCAGCAAUGCCGCGUGCAGGAAGAAGGCCUUCGGGUUGUAAACUGCUUUUGUACGGAACGAAAAGGCUCUGGUUAGUACCUGGGGCUCAUGACGGCACCGUAAGAAUAAGCACCGGCUAACUACGUGCCAGCCGCCGCGGUAACAC
rnacentral:rRNA from 1 species